CAUAUAGUACUUCCUGUUCCUCUCUCUCUUCCUUUGACCAGAGAUGGAUGCAGACAUGCCUCCACUUGCUCCAGGUGCAUGCCUGAAGCUUGUUAUACAAUGUAAGUCCAGUGGUACCUUGGGUUACAGACAUUUCAGGUUACAGACUCCACUAACCCAGAAAUAGUACCUCAGGUUAAGAACUUUACUUGAGGAUGAGAACAUAAAUUGUGCGAUGGCGCAGUGGCAGCGGGAGGCCCCAUUAGCUAAAGUGGUACCUCAGGUUAAGAACAGUUUCAGGUUAAGAACGGACCUCCGGAACGAAUUAAGUUCUUAACCCAAGGUACCACUGUAUUUUGCCUGCUCAAUUUUUACUGCUGCCUUGUGAACCAAUGCAAGAUUAGAAGUAAGUAAAUUAUAUGUGUGCCUGGUGGGGCCUGUUGUAGCCAUGGGAGCGCCUGCCUGGGCCUGCCAUGGCUGUGGAUAGGCCUGGUGAGGCCCACCAUGGCUCCCAUACAGAUUGGCACCUACAGUGCAGCUAAAGAGGAAAGUGGAGGAAGUAGGCCUGCCACACGUCCAUAUUUUCCUUGACUUGGAUUUCAAAGGUGGAAUUGACGUCGGGGGGGGGGGAGGUUGCAAGAGGCACUUUGUCCUGGAUCAUAGGCAAAUCGUAAAAUUGUGCUGUUCUUGGGUGUGUUUAUUUGUUAUUUGUAAAAAAUAGCUCAACAACUUUCAGGUUUUCCUUUAAAAGGCUCAAUUUGGGGGGUGGCGUGUUCCUAAAAAAAAAGCUCAACUACUUUUGGGGUGUCCUGGUUUUUACUUGAAAUAUGGCAGCCCUAGGAGGAAGAGAGACACCACUAAAUAGUAUUACACAGGCCACACAUUUACUGACAGACUUUAACAUGUGCAUCAACAAAAACCACAGUGGAAGGGAUAGCCUUAGCUUUUCAGUAUGAAAUUCCCUCAAGGAGACUGCCCUAGGUAGCCAGCUGCAAUGUCCCCUGAGGUUGUGGCAAAUCAAAAUGGCGGCUCCACAGAAGCCUCUGGUAUGGUGACAUCCAAUAUGUGUGCUAAGCUGCUGCAUACAAAUGGCUGGCCAUAGGGUGCAUCUGUCACACAGAUGCAGUUUUAAGCAGUUUCUGUGCCACUCUGUUUUCAAGUGAAGUAGACCUGAAUUUUUGUUGUGCUGCCUUCAUAACAACUCCGUAGACAACACACUGCAAGAGUUUUGAGCUCCUGUGCUAUUCCACUAUUCUUAUGAAGUCUGUUAAGUCUUCAUCAGAACUGUCUCUUGCGCUGACCAAGCAUUUUUCAUGCACAAAUCUUCUUAGAAACUGCUAAUAAAUACUGGCCUUUUGGACACACAUGGAUCCUAUAAUUCCGUUGUUUUAAAAACUGAGGCAGUUGAGGAUUUUAACAUCAUUAUCAUGUUUCAUGGUGAAACCGAGAAAAGAGCAAUCUCACUUGAGAAUCAGAACAGGAUGUUGGCUGGUGUUACGAAGAUAAAAUAUUCAAAUAUUUAUGUAAGGAAGUCAAAGGAAAGUAUGUAUGUUUAUGAUGAGUGAUCCCAACCAAACCCAUAUAAACACAAUCUUGGGUGAUUCUGUAGUUACCAGCCUAACAUUUGUAAGCUUUUUUUUACUGAUAUAUAAUUUUGGCUUACAUUAUUUGAACACAAAUUGACAUCAAACUAUUUGUGUGCUAACUGGCACAUCCCUAGGAAAUGUCACAGGCAGCUAAAAUGAUUUCUUUUUAUUGUGUUAUACUAGGGACUGCCACUUCUGCUGGUUCUCUCACCAACCCUCACUCCUUUGUUAUCCCCUUCCUUUCCCCCCCCUUUCCUCCCCUCGCCACCACCACCCACCACCCACAGCUCACCCCAAAUCCCACCUCCUUCCCUCACAACUCUGCCAAACAACUCUUCUCUGCUAAUUUUCAAUGCGACGUUAGGGGAGUGGGCGAACUCUUGGUUGGAGGAUGGAUGGCGGCUAACAGAUUGAGGUUGAAUCCUGAUAAGACAGAAGUACUGUUUUUGGGGGACAGGAGGCGAGCGGGUGUGGAGGACUCCCUGGUCCUAAAUGGGGUAACUGUGCCCCUGAAGGACCAGGUGCGCGGCCUGGGAGUCAUUCUGGACUCACAGCUGUCAGUGGCGGCACAGGUCAAUUCUGUGUCCAAGGCAGUUGUUUAUCAGCUUCAUCUGGUACACAGGCUGAGACCCUACCUGCCCGCAGACUGUCUCGCCAGAGUGGUGCAUGCUCUGGUUAUCUCUCGCUUGGACUACUGCAAUGCGCUCUAUGUGGGGCUACCUUUGAAGGUGACCCGGAAACUACAACUAAUCCAGAAUGCGGCAGCUAGACUGGUGACUGGGAGCGGCUGCCGAGACCAUAUAACACCAGUGUUGAAAGACUUACACUGGCUCCCAGUACGUUUCCGAGCACAAUUCAAAGUGUUGGUGCUGACCUUUAAAGCCCUAAACGGCCUCAGUCCAGUAUACCUAAAGGAGCGUCUCCACCUCCAUCGUUUUGCCCGGACACUGAGGUCCAGCGCCGAGGGACAUCUGCCGGUGUUACAGGGAACCAGGCAGAGGGCCCUGUGAAACGCCCUCCCACCAGAUGUCAAAGAGAAAAAUAACUACCAAACUUUUAGAAGACAUCUGAAGGCAGCCCUGUUUAGGGAAGCUUUUAAUGUUUAAUAGGUUAUUGUAUUUUAGUGUUGUGUUGGAAGCCGCCCAGAGUGGCUGGGGAAACCCAGCCAGAUGGGCGGGUUAAAGGGAUCCCUGACCAUUAGGUCCAGUCGUGGCUGACUCUGGGGUUGCGGCGGUUAUCUCGCUUUAUUGGCCGAGGGAGCCGGUGUACAGCUUCUGGGUCAUGUGGCCAGCAUGACUAAGCCGCUUCUGGCGAACCAGAGCAGCGCACGGAAAUGCCGUUUACCUUCCCGCCAGAGCGGUACCUAUUUCUCUACUUGCACUGUGUGCUUUCGAACUGCUAGGUUGGCAGGAGCAGGGACUGAGAAACGGGAGCUCACCCCGUCGCGGGGAUUCGAACCACCGAUCUUCUGAUCGGCAAGUGGUUUAACCCACAGCGCCACCCGCGUCCCUUUAGAUGGGCGGGUUAUAAAUAAUAAAUUAUUAUAAUGUUAUUAUUAUCCUCUCUGAAGUGACAAUUAACAUGGUGCCUCACAGAGUUCUUCGCCAACCCACUCUCUCAAGUGCAUCCCACCCUCCUUCAAAGACACCUUCCUCAGCAGGUCGCCUGGGCUGCCCCCCACAUGCGCCACUUGCUCACUUGCCUCUUUUCUCUCAUCACACUGCUGUUGGUGUGGCCCACCAACAUUAAAUUGUAGGAAGUUGGCAGCAUACCUAAAGCAAAUGUCUCCGCUAUUGAAGAGUGUGCUAGGGAAUUUAUACACAAGCACAUUUAUCAGCAUCAGUUGGCACGUCUGCCUAUUUUCAUCUGAUGAAAAGCAGAGGGCGUGAUAUUCUCUGCCCCUUUCUUGAACUGCAUGGCACUGCCCUGACAUGUAGGUGUUCUGCAUAUGCAUGGAAGCAUACAAAGGGUUCUGAACUGGCCUUCAGGCACUGGCAUCCAUCACCACAGCAAUUUGAUAUUAAGUGUAAUAGGCUGUUAGCAGACCUUGCAGGUUGGGUGAAUUAGAUUGGAGUAAUCACUUACAGUAUCGCUAUCAAACUUUUAUUUCGGUCACAGACCAACAUAAGAUAAAGCAUAUGGAUAAACUGAACACAUAAGACUUAAAACAGGUAAGGAAUAAAAACUAGCAAUUAAAAGGUGAUUAUGUCAUACAUACUUAAAAAGAUAGAAACAGGCACAGUUAAAAGGUCUUGCAUUUUGGACCUAGUUUGUGGCACAAACCAUCCUUCGACUAAUAUCCAUCAUGGCAGUGUAGAAUCUAGCAACUGAGUAUGUAACAUCUGGGUUUUCAUCUUGAAGUAGCAGGGAGGUAUAAAGUUCUGUGCGACCUGGGAAUUUACGUACUACAGGUAAGAUGAACCUAGCUCGUAUAUCUGUAUAGUAUUGGCGCUAAAAAAAAAAAAAAAGGCAUGUUCUGUUGUUUCAACUUAGUUUCUGGAGUUCAAAGGCUUUAUUCAUGCAGGAACUAUUUAUAGGAUGAGUGGAGCUAAGAAAGAGAAAUAGCAAACAUCUUGUCUGGAGAGAACAGCAAACGAAAAAUGGCUCAGCUUUUAAGGGUGGAGUUAACUUAGACAAAGAAGCUUCAAACAAGGUGACUAGGUCACUAGACAAACAGUGCUCUCAUGUGGUUUAAAGUACCGUAACAAAUGCAUUAACUACUAAUGCCUGAUGGCAGCAUCCCUAUAACACAGGGCUUAAUUUAUAUAACAAAAAUUGAGAGGCCUGAUGGCAGUCACACCAUCUUAUUUGAAAUCCCCAGUGCCAACUGAAUAGAUUGCUUCAAUGGUAUUCUAUAACUAUUUCAGAGGGCACUAAGAUCAUCAUAAUUGAAAGCAAUAUUUUGAAGUAAGACCUGUGGAAGCCUGCAUUCAGGCAUAGCACUGCCAUAGGGCUCGUUUUAUGCUUAGACUUUGAGAUCAACAAGCUACUCUCAAUUAUUUGUUGAUCUGAAUGACUUUAUCUAAUUUGUAGUCAUUAAUGAUCCCUGGUUGCUGCUUCCUGGAAAGUCAUAAUAAACUGCUGGGCACUGUGCUCCUGUUCCAUUUUUUAUAAUUGCCUGCAACUUACUGCAGUUCCCCUGAGCUUCAGUUAGGAAAGGACGGCUAUUCUUGGCUUUGUGCAUCAGAUUGUUUUUCCCCCUGUGUUUUCAUAUUCAUAUCCAUUUUGUUUAAAGAGGAACCAACAUAGGCUUCUCUUAAUCUCAGCUUUUUUGGAUCAGAAAAGCAAUUAAAAAGAACAAAUCUGUUUCUCACGCACAAACACACACACUGUGCUAAUGUGCAGUGUGAAAAUCACAUUCAGCUGUGCAACUGCCGAGGCCUCCAUUUGUAGGAGCUGAAAUAGAUACAAAACACUACAUAUUACAAUGUGCCAUGCAACCCUUUAUAUUUAGAACGUCCUACUGUGUUCAGUGGAGCUACUCCCAAGUGAGUGGACUGUGCCCUCAAUUACUUAUUUUCAUUUCUAACGCUUCCUAUUCAAUGACAUAACUCUAACAAGGUCCAUGCCUCAAAGUAAUCAAUUAAAAUAUGAAUACCAUCAAUAAAAAUAGCAUAGCAACUUUAGCCUGGCCUAGCAAGCCCUGAAAAUAACAUUUUAAGGGGACUGGAGAAUGAAAAAAUUCAGACCUUGGCAAGCAUAUUGUAAAAGUGGGUUCUGGAGUUGGGUGUGGGAAUAAGGACACUUCCUUUACAGGAUCUUAUUUUAAAUAGCAGUACAAAAUAGGACUGAGCUUUUAAAACAAGAAACAUCAUGCCGUUCCAGAUGUUUGCUUAAAAAAAUUAUGCCCUGCUUUUUCACAUGUGUCUCAAAGCAACUUAUAAAGGAAAAAACAAAGCAAAUUAAAACAGAAAAUAACCUGAUGUCUGAAACUUUGCAGGGAGUCUAUAGAUCCACAUUCACUAUGUUGUGUGCAGUUUGAUUCCUUGCAGAAAGCUGGGGAAGAUGUUUGAAUAUACGGUAUUAGUGAGCGGACAGGUUAGCUUGCAUGGCUAGAAUCAUCUGCAUAUGAAAUGACGAUGUUGCAUCAUAGAAAUGGCCCCAACCAGCACUCUGGAAAAUUAAGGAUUACUGUAAUUUCCCAACAAGGCCAUCUCCAUAAUGAAUGCAGGAUUACUAUUUUUUAUGGGGUUUUUUCCCCUUUUCCUGACAGUACAUUUGAUAUGCAUUGCUCUGUCUCAUUAUGUCAGCUGCAGGGUUAGGAAUAAACAAAUUUAUCAAGAUAACCAGAGAGAAUGGGACUGACAAAAGCUGAAUGCAACUGGUGAGGUGCCCUUUUGCAAAGGCAGGGCAGAGAUACAGAAGCAGGGCAGGAUAAAGACAUUGUGCUGCCUGAGGCAAAGGACAAGGUGACCCUUUUCAUUCCCACCAGAGGGACAGCAUCUUCCCCACUCUUGAGGGGAGCAGGCUAGCUCAGGGAGCUAUGGCCCCAUAUAACAUCUAGAAUCUGCAACCUGAGGCAGCUGCCUCACUUUGCCUAAUGGUAGGCCUGGCACUGUUUGGAACCCAAGGAGAACCAGCAGGUAUUGGAUUGUAGAGAAUCCCUACUUCAAGCAACUAUUCAAGCAAAUAAAUCGUAUGUGGUGGAGGAGUUAGCUGCAUGGACAAGCAGUGAUUUGAACUUUUGCAGUUUUACUUCCAGACAUGCAUAUGUCCCACAGCUAAACCCAGUUCUCAAGCUACUAAUCACUUGUGGGUCUCCUCCCUAUGAAAAGAUACCUCUGCAGCCAAGUUAGAAAAGCAAGAAGAUUCACUGAACCCUUUUAUCACCUGUAUAUUUAUGGGACAUAGUUUUUUUUGGAUCAGAUGACAGAGUGUGAAGGAGUGAAUGUAAUUAAUGAGUUGAUAGAUACUGACUGGUGUACAAAAUGAGUUGCUGUAGCAGCACUGAAACAGCCUUCAGGGUCUGAUAUUUCUGGCUUCUUCAUGAAAGCCAAACAACCAGGAAAAAAUGUACUACAUCAUUGUUUCCCAAUUAAGUACUGCAGACCCCGUUUUGUUUUGUUUUGUUUUGUUUUGUUUUUUGUUUUGAAACCAAGUCAUGGACCCACUGCUUUUGAAAAUGUUGCUAUCUCUACAGUAGUUUUUGUUAUGUGAAUGGUGCCACCAUACCCUCUAACAUGUCACAGUGUAAAACCGAGCCAUGUGUUUUCUGGGCUGCAUUCCCAUGUGAGAGUAUGGCACCCAAAAACGUACAUACCUAUCAAUUGUCUUGAACACCCUGUUUUGGGGCACCAUUUUCUCAGUGAGAGCACCCCCCCCAAGAAAAUGGGAAGUCCCAGACAGUUGACAGGUAAGUGCCACAGAUCCCCUUAGUGGGUUAUGUAGACCUCACAAUAGUACCAUUACAGAAGUUGCUGGAAAUAAACUCAGUUGGGGGGGAGAGAGGUGGCUCCCUUUUGGUUCAGAGCCUCUUAUACAGUGGUACCUCGGGUUAAGUACUUAAUUCGUUCCGGAGGUCCGUACUUAACCUGAAACUGUUCUUAACCUGAAGCACCACUUUAGCUAAUGGGGCCUCCCGCUGCUGCUGCGCACUGGAGCACUAUUUCUGUUCGUAUCCUGAAGCAAAGUUCUUAACCCGAGGUACUAUUUCUGGGUAGCGGAGUCUGUAACCUGAAGCAUAUGUAACCUGAAGCGUAUGUAACCCGAGGUACCACUGUAUGUGAAAACGUAGAGCAAUGUAGGGGAGUUAAUUAGAACAAGUUUACCUGCAUAUCCACACUGCAGUGCCCCAGUUCAGACUGUGGCCAGGAUGUGGAACGAAUUAGGCAUGUUCCCUUAAAAGCCUGUUCCCCUUUAAGGUGGAACGGAGACUAUAUCCUAACAGUUCACACACUUGGCUCUUUUUUUUUAGGAGUUAGCAGACACAGAUCUAGGAAGCUGCCUUAUACCCAGUCAGACCACUGGUCCAUCUACCUCAGUAUAGGCUACACUGACUGGCAGAAGCUCUCUGGAGUUUCAGGCAGGGGUUUCACCCAGUCUUAGAGACUGAUCUUGUUGGCAUCUGUGGACAACACAGAUGCUCCACCGUUGACUUACACCCUUUCCCAGAUCCUGAUGUAGGGAUGAGUAGGGGGCUUUGGCCACCCAUUGCAGACCUGCUCUAGACUCCUCUCCCCCCUCCCAACACCUCUUUGCUUGGGAAGCAAAACUUCCAAUAGUGCAAAUGUCAAACGUCAAGUGGGCUGCAGUCCUUUUCAGAGUCGUGCAAGGGGACCAGAGGACUCCAGCAGAGAAUUCUCAACUCAGCCAGAAAGCCAUCGUGCUGAAGCUGAGGUCCAGCGCCGAGGGCCCUCUGGUGGCUCCCUCACUGUAGGUUACAGGGAACCAGGCAGAGGGCCUUCUCGGCGGUGGCGCCCGCCCUGUGGAACACCCUCCCAUCAGAUGUCAAGGAAAGAAACAACUAUCUUCCUUUUACAAGACAUCUGAAGGCAGCCCUGUUUAGGGAAGUUUUUAAUGUUUGAUGUUUUAUUGUAUUUUUAAUAUUUUGUUGGAAGCCACUCAGAGUGGCUGGGGAAACCCAGCCAGAUGGGCGGGGUAUAAAUAAUAAAUUAUUAUUUGACCCAAGCCAUUGAAGUGCUUUUGACAAUAAGCUUGGGUUUGUAGCAUAGCAGGGCUUAGAGCUGUGAAAUCAAUGGAACUACAUUCAGCAUCUGUUUGGGACUAAUGCAUUUUAUCCUUGCAGUCUUUUCUGAGACUCUCUUUAAAAAAAAUAAUAUUUUUAAUUGAAUUUUCAAAUUAUAACAUUCAAUUAAGAUUUGUGGAAAAUUUGUUAAUUUAUAUAUAUAUAUCCCCUCCCCCCUCCUUGGCUUCCCCGUAUUUCUAUAUUGGUUUAUUAAACAAAUUCUAUAUCCUGCUGAUUUUGCCUCUCAUAUAGUUGUGAAAGUUUAGUCAAAACCUGCCACUGAGUCCAAAUCUUUAUACUGUCUUUUUAUAUAGUUUAUAAAUGGUUCCCACUCUUUUUUGAAAUCGAUGUUGUCUCUCUCAUGUAUCCUCUGUCAGCUUAGCCAGUUCCGCUUAGUCCAUAAGCUUAGCUUGCCAUUCUUCCUUUGUUGGUGUUUUCUCUGUUUUCCAUACUUGUAUUAAUAAAAUUCUUGCUGCUGUUGUCACAUACAUAAACAAUCUCCAAUUUCCCUCUCAUAUCAUGAUCUAAAAUUCCAAGCAAGAAAGAUUCUGGUUUUUUAACAAAAGUUUUUUCCAACAUUUUUUUCAAUUCAUUAUAUAUCAUUUCCCAAUAUUCUUUAACCUUCUUGCAUUCCCACCAUACCUUUUCUGAGACUUUCAAGUACUAUGUGUAAAUAACCAGCACAGUCAUUCUGCUCCUCUGAUUUUAUGAUGAUAUGCCCGAGACAUGUAAGUACCACAGCUCACUUUUAGUGCUUCUCUUGUGCAUGCAGAUGAUCUCUAAGUUCAGUUCUUGAAAUCUCCAGGUCAGGUUGGGAAACUCUAUAGUUGGGAACCUUUGACAGCUCCUGCCAGUUUGGCUCCACAAUUCUGGCUUGAUUUAGUCUUAAAACCGCCUCCUAUAUUCCUAGGUAUUUAAUCUGCUUGUUAUCUUCAUGUUAUCCAGAGACUUGGAAUUUUCUUUUAAUGGAUGGCACAUAUAAAACCAAUGAGCCUAUUUAUUGCUCAUAUUGCUUAUUGAAGAAAGUAGACAAAAAAACGAAACAAAAUUAUUUCACAAUAGUUUGUGACAGAUCGUGCAAUGCAGAGACAAAUUGGCUUGCAUCUGUAAUACAAAAUCAAGCAUUUUCUCACUGUUGGUGUAGGAUCUUGCUUUUGCUUUAGCACUGUACCGUAUAUCUCUCAAGGGGCCUGCAGCUUCUUGCUGAGCCAUCAUAUCAGUUGGCUCAGCAACCAGACAGUCACGGCGUCCACUUCCAAGGAAAGCGGUGUAAGCCAUGCUUAUCAACCUUUUCAGCGUGUACUAUGAUAAGAUUAUAAUUCUGAAGAUUCUGAAGGGGAGGACAAUGAACUGCUCAACUAUAACUAGCACGGCAGUGUGUUUGUGUGGAAUUACGGGUGGCUAAUAUAUUGGUAACUGGGUGUGUGUUGUCCAAAUACCUUGCUAACCUUUGCUCACAGUACUUAAUGUUUGCAGUUUGUCAAGGACAAGACGGUUUGCCUGCUUUGUAAAAACCAUGCAUGCAAAUUUCCCAUAGACAUGGUGGGCCACUGUGAGAAUCGGAUGUUGGAUUGGGUGGGAUUGUGGUCUGAUCCAGCAGGGCUUUUAUGUUCCCGGUCCUAAUACUUAAUUGUGGUCACACAAUUUGGUUUAUGAAGAAGCAACAUUCAUCUAGUAUUAAAUCAAGCAACCUCACAUAAGCUUGCUUGGAAGUAAAUCUGGCCAAGAGUAAUGGGACUUAGUUCUGUGUAAUACCUCUAGGGAUGCAGUAUUAAAGAAUACACAGGCUGAACCGUAUCACGUUAACACAGAAAUAAAGCUAUUAAAAUUAUUCCUGUAUCUCCCGCCAUAGUGCUGUUUUGCUGGAUCUGCGGCACUCAUUAAAAUAUUUCACGUCCUUACAUCAGUCUCCCAUAUUUGUUCAUCCAAUCUUCACAAUUGCCACUCUUUGAUUUUAUAUAAUGUUGGCAUUUAAGACCUUUUCACAUUGUUGACCUAUAUUUGUCUGCCAAGGUAUUUCGGUCAGUGGAGCAUCUCAAAAAUGGGGAAAGACUAUUAAUUGUUAGCACCAUGUUUAGGGAAGUUCUUGCUCAUUCCCCUCCUUUACCAUCUUACCCAUGGCUCCCAUGUAGGUAAGUUCAUUCACGUAACAAAAUGUUAGAGCAGCCUAGAGCUACAGCAUUGGCCUGCAUUAAUCAGGCUAUACAACGGGUUCAUUGUUGAUGUGUGUGGUUUUUUAAGGAAUAUAUUUUUCAUGGUCUGUAUUGUAUUACACCAUUUGUUCUAUCCAAGAACAAGAGUGAAGGAAGGCAAAAAUGACCCGACUCUACAUCUAAGGCUGUAAUACUAAGGUCAUCACACUCCUUGGGAAAGGGUCCCUUUUAAAGGAUUUUAACCUUUAAUUCUGCACUAGGAGUUCUAGAACUUUGAUGUCUUCUGCUGAGGGCCAGUCAAGAAAUUUCGGUGCCUGAGGCAGAGCAGCAAAUGGCACUCCUUCCUUGUCAAGCCAGGUGGAUUGUACCCAAGGCUAGUCAAGUUCUUUUGGCAGAAAAGCCCACAAGCACAACCACAAUGAAUAAUGAUGAUGAAUUAAACAGCUAGCACCUUGCUGCCCUUCCAUGACCAUCCAAAUUGGCUGCCUGAGGCGGCUGCCUCACUCUGUUCAAUGAUUGGGCCAGCUCUGUGUCUGAUCCCUUUGGGGUAGGCACCUGUAUGAUGAGAUGAAUGCCAUUGGGAGAAGAUGCAGCUAUCUGCAGUGUGGUGUAGUGGUUAAGAGCGGUAGACUCGUAAUCUGGUGAACCAGGUUCGCGUCUCCGCUCCUCCACAUGCAGCUGCUGGGUGACCUUGGGCCAGUCACACUUCUUUGAAGUCUCUCAGCCCCACUCACCUCAUAGAGUGUUUGUUGUGGGGAAGGAAGGAAAAGGAGAAUGUUAGCUGCUUUGAGACUCCUUCAGGUAGUGAUAAAGCGGGAUAUCAAAUCCAAACUCCUCUUCUUCUUCUGCCCCGCAACACCAGCAGAAAAGAAGGUAACUGAAAGUAUAGAGAUGCAUAGCAACAAGGCCAGUACCACCAGCAGCUGGAACUUCCAGGAGCCUGGGGGGAAAGAGGACUCGUCCUCCCCAGCAAUUUCCCCUUUACUGCUGUUAGUCUCCUUCGGAGAAAUGAUGAGUCUAGGGCUAGAUCUAGAGACACAUCAAUAAAGUGUUUCAGGAAAACUCGUUCUAAACUUCAUAAACGGAAAUCACACUGGCGAAAGAUGGGACUCCACUGUGAUAUAACGCAUAUAAAGCACUUUUUCUUUGCCAGUGUAGUUGAGUCCUAGGUGAUUUCUAGAAUCCUGAGCAGGCUCUGCAGUACAUUUUAGCCAGGCUGCUGGGGCUCUGUGCACCUGGAAUUAUAUUAUCUGUUAACUUUCCUCUUGCUCUGUAUAUAUAUGUAUUUAAGUCUAGAUUAUUUCUUUUGCUAGUGGGAUGCAGGUGGCGCUAUUGUAUAAAUCAAUAAGCCUCUUGGGCUUGCUGAUCAGAAGGUUGGUGGUUUGAAUCCGUGCGAUGGGGUGAGCUCCCGUUUAUCUGUCCCAGCUCCUGCCAACCUAGCAGUUCGAAAGCAUGUCAGUGCAAGUAGGUAGCUAGGUACCACUGUGGCGGGAAGGUAAACAGCGUUUCUGUGUGCUCUGGCUUCUGUCACAGUGUCCCGUUGCACUAUAAGCGGCUUAGUCAUGCUGGCCACAUGACCUGGAAAGCUGUCUGUGGACAAACGCCGCCUCCCUUGGCCUGAAAGCGAGAUGAGCGCCACAACCCCAUAGUCGCCUUUGAAUGGACUUAACCGUCCAGGGGUCCUUUGCCUUUACCUUAUUUCUUUUGCCAUACCAAAUUUAUCAUCUGUUUAGUAACUUGUUGAUUUUUGUCUCAUUUGAAUUUGAUGUUUUGUCAACGGUUUUCUCCCCCCCCCCCACCAAAUGCUGAAUUCUCCUGUGUUAAGAGAACUGUAUAACUCAUCUAUACCUGAUUCAUGUCAGCAAAUAAAUUGUUUUAAGAUGGAGCGCCACCUAGGGGCUGUUGCUGCUAGAGCGACGCUUUUGAAGGCAAAGCAAUUCUGAUGUAUAAGCAAAGGAUGCAUGGGAGAAUUCACAAUUAUCGCGAACUGAUGGCGUUUGGUUUUUCAUUAGGUAGUCCAAGGGAAUAAAUGGGCUAUUGCUUAAAAGUGAUUGGCUUGUUAUUGUGGUCAAUUCAGCGAAAAGUAAUUGCAGGGUUCCUUCCCAAUAAACUUUGCACGUAAGUUGCAAUUUUUUUGGAAAUAUCACAUUCAAUUCACAGUUUGCCCCAAUGCAGAACCCAUGUGCACAGUGAUAUACACAGGAUUUUGGGUGCUCCUGGCUCUCCUCCUUCAAGGGAAUGGAAAAGGUAUGAAUAAAAAUGAAAGAAAAUGAUGAUGAUGUUUAGUACAGGGAAGAAGAGGCAUGAAAGAGGUGCCCAAGAAUUCCAUGUGCACACAUUAUUCUACAUGUGCACUGCCUGUGCAUGCUAUCCAACGAGCUACUUCUCAUUUCCACUGAAGUCUGUCCUUGUCAGGGCUGGACAACAUUUCAAGUUUGCAGGAGACUGCGCUGAGCCUCUCAAAGCCAGCAUUCACAUUUAGGCUGUAUAACACGGAGACACGGGCAAAGGUUACAGUACAGCUUCCCUACAUUGCAACGCCUAUCUGAUUCCUCUUUCCUUUUCAGCCAGGCUGGCCAAACUCAAAUUUCACAUCAAUUCCACAAUAAAAGCAAACCCAGAAACUCAACCUGCUGUGAACCAGCAGUGUGGCUCCUUACCAAGCCACUUAAACAAAGAGCUCCUUUUCAAAAGUCUUCCGCUAUCCAUAAUGCAUGUUACCAUAAAAUGUCCAGGUUGCUAAUUCGCUUGGAUGAAAGCAUCUACCUGGAGGAAAGGCUUAUUUCUGCAAUUGUUCUAGAUCUACAUAAAAUAUGCACAGGGAAGCAAGAUUAUAAAUGCAUAUUCAUACUUUUGUUUCAGGAUUGGUAACCCAAAGGACUUAAUGCUAUAAAAAAUGACCUUUCGGUCUUUUUCACAGUAGCAAUGGCGGUUUGUGAUAUCCCUUUAUUAUAGAAAUUAGAAUUUUUUUAAAAAAAAUCUGUGGCUUCGAGUUCUGUUUAACUCUUUUGUGUCAUCUUUAAAAGGUAUUCGUGAAAUAUCUGAUUUCAGGGAUUAGUGCAGCCUUCAUUACUAUGCAUGAAAAACGAGAUGAAAUACCACGUUUUUGGCAGCUGUUUCCACUGGAUAAGCAUCCACUCACCCAGCUUGAUUUAACAUUUUGUUACUGCAGCUUUAUGUUGCACAUUUGAUUUAGUACCAGCAGAAUUAUGCUGGAAGAAUGGCAAUGGAAAGACAGGGCUAUAGAAGAAAGAAUCUGGCAACUCCUGAUUACUGAUCCUCUUGAAAUCACGGAUUUGGCUGCCUACAAGGGCCCAAAUUAGGGUCUUUCAUCCUAAUCCUUAUCUCCAAAUCAGGAGCAGCUGCUGCAGAGCUCCUAUUUAGUUUAUUUAUUUCAGAAAACCUAUCUCCCGCCCUUCUGAUGCAUUUGCAUCACUCAGGGACGCAUGCAGCAAUAACAAUUCUAAUAUAUACAUAAAUUGAGACAGGCUCAGCAGCCGAAAACAUUCCAAAAUGGGGGUUGGUGUCCGUUUGUGUCACUUUUUCAGUACCCUGCCUUAUCCUUUCCAUAAGGCAGAAAUCUUUUCCCCACUGGCACCACUACUGUGUUGAAAGAACUGUACAAAAGUGCAAAGCAGCUUCUAAAUGCCUGUAGUGUGGAAGCAUAACAGCCCAAGGCUGUUUUACACGGCAGCUGUGUGAAGGAAAUGACAGCAAUGCCCAUAGAGUUGAGGACCAAGAUAUACAGGCGAGGACAACGUGGUAGGGAGCAGCACAUUCCAGGUCCCCUUUCUACCUUCUGUAGUGAAAGGGACCAAUCCGGAGCCUAGCACACCCCAGUUUAUAAUUUCUUCCUCAGUCGUUGGAUCUGAUCUGUGGAAUGCCAGUAGACCUACUAACUCUUUCCUGCUCUAGUGUGCUGCAUCUUUUCCUUCUAUCAGAUAUCUAUCCAUGUAUCAUGAUGAAUGGAAAUCAACUGGAGAAGACCAGACUCUGAAGGGGCGUUGAGGAACCCGAAAGGCUAGCUGCUGCUCCUGCAAAGAAAGGAUAUGUAAGUAAGGCAUCAAUCUUUGGAGGCAACUGCACCAUUAUAAAAUCCCAAAUUUAUAGUAUGAUUGCAACUUUGGAAUGGUUUCAGGCUGCAAGGUUCAGCCUGGGUGAAUCCAGAGGUCAGGUGUCAUUUUCCUAUGAGUAACAAGUAAAGAAGGAAUGGUUAAGACCAUAAGGGUUUGGGGCCAUUGCACUGGAGCAAAAUUGUUUAUUGAGGUUUUCAACUAAGUAUGUACAGAACAGAUAAUGUAAGAAAACAGUAACAUAAACAUGCAUAUGAACUGAAAUAUAAAUUAACAUAAACAUUUCUUUUGCAGGUGGCAACAUGGAAGAUAACCAAAGUGGAUAUUGAUGGAGAGGAGUCCAUUCACAUGAAAAGUAUAUAUUUCAAAAAGCACCUCCGCUAACAGUUAUAGAGGCUCAUAUUUAAUUCCAUGCACAGUGCCACACACCUAUGUAUAGUUGACUGCUAGAAAUGCAUUCUCCCCCCUUAAAUGGACUGCCUUAUUUCUUUAUGUCAUUUACUAA